GCCCAGGUGCGGUCGCCCGAGGAUGCCGCGCCGGCCGGGGCGGCGCCCAGGACUUUAAUGUCACCGCCGGCGGGGCGCAGAGGGCGGAGACCCCGUGGUCGCGCGGCGGGAUCCUGGGCGACCCCCAGCCCUCCCCUCGCGCCCUCUGGCCUCACCCGGGUACCGGUAAUGCCCACAGCCACCUUGCAGCGAGCUUUCCUCCUGUGCAGCUCUGUGCUGAGCACCCUACAAGCCGGGUCUCAAUUAAGUCUCGCUGGGGACAGGCGCACAAUACAAAUGAGGAAACUGAGGCCCUCUGUGGUCAAGGCGCUGGCCAAGGUCGCGCAGCCAGUAUGAGUCGGAGCAGCAUUUGUGCCUCGUUUCUUCCGACUGGACCAGACUACCGGAUAAUAUGGGGUGGGAGAUGGAGAGGAUGAGAGAGGCCAGUGUUGGGUGGGGUGGGGGGUGUUGACAGAACCACUAUUUGUACCAUGGCCACUUACCCGUGGCCUGCCAGUUCUAAUCUCCUAAAGGAGUUCACUUCCCUCCACCCCCAUUAAUAAGUAUUUCUGUGAUCUCAGGGGAUAGCAGAAACCCCCUCCUCCAAAUCCUGCCUGUGCCCCCACCCAUCACAGACGGGUGGCAGAAGGAAGACCCUUGGGCAGGAGAACGGGGCAGGGAAGGACGAGCAGCAAUGGGAUUAGCUAGUGUGUGGGGAGGUGAGCUGGGGAAGCAUCUUACUUCAUUCUGUCAAAAAUGUCUAAAUAUAUGCUGGAGAAAAUUAACUUUGCAAUUAAAAACUUAAAAAAAAAAUCCUACCAUCCUUCACACUCCAGCUCUAGCUGCAUUUUUGCACAAAUCCUCCCCUGACCAGUGCGGAUUCUCGGGGUUGCAGGCACAGGAAGGACGUGGAAGUCUCCAGGGCAGCCUGUGGCUCACUCGCCCGCCCCAGGCCCGACUCCUUCCAGGCCUGCAUUCCCAACUUGAAGGGAAGCCCACACCAGGGUCGUGGGGUCACCAGGGCUGCAUUGUAGUCUUGAGUGGUGUCUGCAUAGUGCUGGGGGCGAGGGGUCACCAGAACAUCUCUGAGGAGGCAGCAGUCCUGUAGGACUCUGUCUGGCCACUGGGGUCCUGUCCAGGAGUCCUUGGGCAUGUGCUCUAGUUCCUCCCCGCCAUGGGGAUGAUGUCCUCCCUGUCCACCCCAUCUCUGGGGGUCACAGACUUUUGUCCAGAUCUGAGUCUUCACCUGGGGGCAAGGCGCGUGCAAGCUCUAGCUCCAGCCAGUACCAGAGCCGAGUGUGUAUGGGUGUGAGCCGGUGCUCACUGAAGCAGUGACCUGAAAAGCGAGCCCAGCAGUGCAGCUGGGAGGUAGCAUCUCCAGACAGAGGUGGCUGGGCUCUGUGGAGGCAAGGGCAGGUGGCAGGGCCCCCUGAAGCCCUGGAGACUUAUGAAGCAUUCGGACCCUGGGUGCAUCUUCACGUGUCCUGCGAAGACAGACACACAGACAACAUCCCCAGGAGAAACUGUCGUGGGAGUUUGAGGGAAGGACAGGGGAGGCCAUGACAGGGAGCCGCUGCAGGAACAGCAGAGCCACGGUGACUUGGGCACCAAAUGGUACCACCUUUACGUAAGCUGCCCUGAGAGUUUGGGGCCAUUGGAUAGAGGGUCUCAGGGCUGGAGGUGAAUCUUAUUUCAACCAGUGUGUUCACCCCUUAGCAUGGGUCUUAAGCUUGUGAUAGGAACAUGUCACUCUGCUGCUUAAAAACCUGUGAGUGGCUUCCAUCCUUGUUCUGGAUCGUCAUUUCAAGGCUGACGAGCAGCCGUGGAAGACCGAGGAAGUGUCUCCCUCUGGACUCGAGAGCAGGUACCAUGUUCGCUGAUCAGAAUAAUAAAGUCUGUGUCUCUGGGCUAAAAGUAGGGCAGGAGAGCUCACAGCCUCUCGUAGAAGGUUGGAGAUGCCUAAACCCAUGGUUGCUUGGCUGUGACUCAGACUGGUGAUGGGAGCAGCACCUACCUAAGGUGGCCCGUGUCCCCUGGGGAUAUUCGUGCUGCCUGACUAACAAAGUCUUUUGUCUCUGACCCAGGGUUGUCUCCAGUCUUCUGCCAGCAUCAGCAGCCACGGUAACUUGCAGCCCAUCUCCAGUCCCUCUGCCUGCAGCAAUGCCACCUGUGUCCAUGCCCCCAGGCCACCAGACUGCUCCCCCCUGCCUUUGCUCCUGUGACCCCCCAGCCUGGAAUGUCACACCUCCUGGAUUCUUCUGCAGCCCCAGUUGGAGCCUCCCAGUUUCCUCUAGAUGAAUUCUGGCUGGACUGGCUCCCCGCAGGCAGUGCUGCUGCUGGGGACGCGGGGAGUGAGGACACUGAGGUCCGGGAGCCUGUUUCUCUGGGGCUUUUUGUUGGACCUUCCUCAAUCCUAACCUGGAACUCUUCAAAGCCUGGUCGGAAUUCUCAGGGAACCCUCCAUAAAGCUGGGAUCAUUCCCACACUUCCCUUCUUAACUCCUGUCUCCUGAGUUUUAGGUUUUGUAUUUUCAUUCCGAUCUUAGGGCGAGAGAAUUCUUUUGUAAAUAACAAAUAUAGUCAUUCAUUUAAAAAAUAAAAAAGUUUUCCAUCGUC